ensembl:lncRNA
GGAGAUUCGAUUCUGUCUUUAGCGCCAAGGUGGGCGUAGUUUGCAACGUGUGAUAAGUGAUUGCAUUCGUUUUGGAACCGGGCUUCAUCCUGAGUCACAAAAAAGUGAGAAUACUGUCUGAUUUUAGCAGGCUGCGCCUCCCUCACCGGUUUCGCCCGUGUGUUGCAUUGUGGGUAUACCAAUCGUCCGACUUGCGACUACAUCAGAGACAGUACAGUAUGAAGAUGGGCAGAAGCUGCUCCAGUGGAUGCUGGUGGGAGGAGCUAUAGGAGUACGGGCUCAUUAUAAUGGCUGGAAUGGAAUUGAUGGAGUCCAGUGAAAAACGUGGUUUCCAUAUGUUUGAUGCAUUCCGUUUAUUUAAUUCCAGCCAUUACAAUGAGCCGACUUCUUAUAGCUCCUUCCUACCAGCCUCCAGUGUGCUUCUCCAAUAGAAAUCCCCAAUCACACUUGUAGGCGGUGUCAUGGCAACGUUGGCAGCUAAAUUCAUGGGCAGAGAGUCAUCUGGUCUGAUGGUCUGAAUUGUGCAUGUGCAAAUCCUCAAAUCAGACACUCCUUCAAUAUAAAGUUGUUUUUGACAAAAAUGUGUAAUUUUGUCACUUUCAUGUUGUUGGCGUAAUAACUACGGAAGACAUUGGCUUGAUUCUAGGUUGUGCCUUUAGAUUUAAUGAAAAUGUACAACUUAGUAAACAUUUUCACUUCUCUAAUAGAUUUUUCAUACCCAUAGUCUGCUUGGUCUGUUUCACAAGUGUUCCUGGAAGUCUCGUGAUUUUGCUCCUCCGUGUUUAGAAACUCUGUGACUAUAUGUCAACUGCAUGACCUUUACAACAACCAUGUGAUCAAAGGUCAUGAACUUUUGAAAUUUCUGCAAUUCCUCCUCACCAACUGCAACUUGAAGUCAGAACCAAGGCAUUGUGGAAGACAACCAGUUGUUUUGGAAGCAAAAGGCACUACAUUCACAAAAAUGCUUAAUGUCGCCAACUAGCAUGGGUUAUUAUCAAUGCAUGUUUAUUGUUUUGGAUGGAUGACUAUUUAGAGCUUAAAUUCAUCUUUAUCCUUUCAAUCUAAUUAUAUAGGCCUACAUGUUAUCCACAUUUCUAAAUUAAAUACGUGAAAUAUCCUACUUGCGACAAUAUAGCUAAUGUAUUUAUCUAGAUGUUGUUGUAAUGCUGUGUCCUAUGUUAUAGCAUAACAUUUGUCUGGUCUGUAAUAUUGUUAUCACCAAACAAAUUCACAUGUGUUGAUUGUCUAUCAAGUGUGAAUAAAAUUGAAUACAUAUUGUAGGCUACACAUGGGUUAUUGUAGGGGAUUUCUACACUGGCAAUGUUAAAGGCUUAGUCUGAGCAUGUACCCCAGACUCGGGGUAAAUAUCAAGUGCAUUUGACUGCUUGGCAUAUUGCUUGGCAUGUUGUUUACUCAGUCAUUUAUGUGAACUGAUGUAUAUGUAGGCUAAUACAUUUCAUAUUGUUUACCCAGUAAUUUAUGUGAACUAAUGUACAUGUAUAAUCUAAUCCUUUUCUGUGCAGUGAGUGUUUUGUCCUUCCUGUGAUUGAAUCAAAUUAUGUUCUUUACAUGCUUACUGACAAAAGCAACAUAGAGGUUGAGCAUUAAAUAAAUACAAUCCAGGCUGUAGUGAUGCUG